GACGAACGCUGGCGGCGUGCCUAAUACAUGCAAGUAGAACGCACAGUUUAUACCGUAGCUUGCUACACCAUAAACUGUGAGUUGCGAAAGGGUGAGUAACGCGUAGGUAACCUGCCUGGUAGCGGGGGAUAACUAUUGGAAACGAUAGCUAAGACCGCAUAAUAUUUAUUAUUGCAUGAUAAUUGAUUGAAAGAUGCUAUUGCAUCACUACCAGAUGGACCUGCGUUGUAUUAGCUAGUAGGCGAGGUAACGGCUCACCUAGGCGACGAUACAUAGCCGACCUGAUAGGGUGAUCGGCCACACUGGGACUGAGACACGGCCCAGACUGCUUCGGGAGGCAGCAGUAGGGAAUCUUCGGCAAUGGACGAAAGUCUGACCGAGCAACGCCGCGUGAGUGAAGAAGGUUUUCGGGUCGUAAAGCUCUGUUGUAGGAGAAGAACGGGUGUGAGAGUGGAAAGUUCACACUGUGACGGUAUCUUACCAGAAAGGGACGGCUAACUACGUG
rnacentral:rRNA from 1 species